GGGGAUGUCGUUCAACGGUAGGACUCUGGUCUCCAAAACCAGGUAUCGGGGUUCAAAUCCUCGCGUCCCCGCCA
rnacentral:tRNA from 1 species